GUGUGUGUGUGUGUGUGUGUGUGUGUCGAGGAUUAUCCUGUUUGAGCACAAGUCCUUUAAGGUCACAAAUAAAAGGUUUCUGCUUUCUGACGCUUUUUGCUCUCACAGCUGGGAAAUCCAAAAGCCCAGAACCUUCCUCCAUCCUGUGGUGAUCAGGAUAUGAAUAAUUCUCUGAUCAUUAAGUGUGAUUCAGGGGUCUUCAUUGACAAUUAUGGAGCGGCUCCAGUGAGCUUUUGUUAAUUGUAUGAUGUAUAAUGAAAUGAAUGUGAUGACUGAGUGCAGUAAUGACAGCAGUGGAGUGGAUGGUCAGUGUUAAAGUCUGUAGUCUCCAGUGGAGUACAGCUGUUUUUACCUCCAUUACUCCCUUCAUUAGCUCUCUAGUUUCCCGUCUAUCUCUCCCCCUUUUCUACUUUCUUUCUCUCAACAGCCAUCAAAUUAGACUCACCACUGCUUAACCAUAACCCCGUCUCUCCCUCUCUGUCCGUCACUCACCCUCUCUUAACCCAUUUUUUCCUGUCUCGCCUACUUCUCGAAGGCUCUCAAAUUAAAUUCACCUCUCUGUUAGUGUCUGGCCUCUCUCCUUCAUUGCAUUUCUCUGCAGACAGUCUGAUGAGCUCAGACAAAAAAAACAGAGAUUUUGGAGUCAUUUUCAUUUACUCCCCAAGUUUUCAAUUCUCACUCAUUUCAGCCAGUCUCCCUCUUUGUGUCUUUUCCUGCAACACCUCACCUUUGUGCUAUUUUCGCACAUAGCACCUUUUCCCAUCUUUCUCUCACUUAUUGUCAGGUCUCAGAAAAAGAGAUUUAAAACAGAUUACAACCACAUCUGUGAUUUCCAAUUAUGUUCAAGUUAUUAACAGCGAAGCAUAAUCGAUGUAACGGCAAAUUAUGGAUCUGACACUUCAUUAGAUUAUAGAGUGAGCCUUCACUGGAUUUGUUUUAUCCCUCUCCUGUCUGCUGCCAGGUCCUUCCAGACAUGAGCUGCUGUUUUCAGAGACAUGGAGGUUCUUUCUCAGGUUUCAUGUCUUCGUUAUCUUCAUGUGUUUCAAGGUUUGAUGAUAUGGAAUCCUUUAACAUUCCCAUGCAGUCGUGAUUAAUCUCACCACGAUAAAAAAAAGGGACAAACUAUAUCUCUGAGUCAUUCCAUCAUGAAAUAUUACACCUUUUUUCUUCAUAAUCAGUAAGGAAAUCACAGGACUGUUGAGCUCAAUAAACUGGCUGUACAGCAGCUAGUUAAACUUUACCAUCAGAUCCUGUUAUAUUUGGACUUCCCUGCUCUAUUUGUUUAUAUUCAUAGCAAUACACCUCUUUUAAAGUUAGGUGUUAGAUCUGGUCUGUGCUAAGCGAUCCAUCGUACUCUAGUGUCAGGCAAAAUUAGAGGCUGUGCCUAUCUGCUGUGGAUUGCCAGAGCAGAGACAGACUGAACUCAGAUCUGGUGGAAAAAUGGCAGGUAGUGUCAUGGUUGACGAGAAGCUGAUUUAAUUUGUUUUAAUUUUCGCUUUUCUCUAACUCUUUUUGGAUCAGCUGGAUAAUAAUGUGUUGAUGCUUGAAAGAGCUCUGUUCAGAAAACUUCAUAACUCAACUGUUAAGAUCCUAUUUUUUUUGUGAUGCCAUAUCAUCAGCAAAUGAUAGAUACAAACAUUACUAGUCCUCUACAUGUCAGCACCAUAGACUGUAUGUAGAAUGGACGCCGUCUGCCCUCCUCCACCCCGAGAACAGCACCCUCUGGUGACGGGCUGUUGUAUAGGUCAUAACUCCCC